CCCCCCCCCGUGGCGGGAGCGUGUCGGAGCGCGCCCGGGCCGCGGUGUGCCGAAAUAAAGCGGGGUCCGGAGUGUGGAGGGAUGGGCAUCUGAAGUUUGAGGGAUUAUGCAGCUGGGAAGGGAGAAUCCUGAGAUGCUGUGCGUGGAGCUGUGCCAGUGUCAGGCAUUGCGGUCUGAGCAGCACCGGAGAUCAAGAGCAGCGCGUGACCAACCUGCAGCAUGAGUAAUGCCAGUGGGCAGAUGUGACAAAAGGAAAACGAAUGCUGCAGAAACGAAAACAAGAGCAGGAGUGAAAGGAAAGCGGACGUUUUUUUCUCUGAACUCUAAUGCUUGUGCUGAAUCAGCUUCAAGCAGCGCCUCUCUAUAAAAUUAAA